AAGGGAGACCUAAUUCAGGUAGGAGACGAAAAAAAAGUAGUCCCAACCAAGAAUCAAUCCCAAAAGGUCGGAGCGAGGCGAAAUUGGCUUUCAAACUAGGUUCUGGGUUCACACAAGACCUGAAUCAGGAACAAGGGCUAUUAGCUCAGGUGGUUAGAGCGCACCCCUGAUAAGGGUGAGGUCCCUGGUUCGAGUCCAGGAUGGCCCACCUGCACAGGUGGCAAAAACAAAGAAGCGAGGAAUCAGCACCUUAUCUUACUUAUAUAGUAAGAGAGAAUGCUGGCUCUGAGUAAAGAGUCCAGAGGAACCUUGAAAACUGCAUAGAGCUAGGUGAAAAAGCCAAAAAAGAAGACCGCAA
rnacentral:tRNA from 1 species